CUCAAGUCAAGGUCGAUAGCAGUGAUUCUAUGAACCUUUUGCGCCGAAUAAUUACAUAAAACUGUGAAUUUCAAUAAGUUUUACCCAUCGUGACACCCUUUGCGUAGACAUUUUGUUAGUUCUUUCUUGUUUACACGAGUUUCUAAGUUAAUACCCGUGCUGGUGUUCUAGAAAGUACCAUUCUACUCCUCAGCUCAUUUUGCGCAACAACAUCUUUUAGACCUAGAUUUUAUGUUUUACUCCUUUACAUCUUCUCUAACUCGUUGUGACUAUUCAUCUCCAGACAUAUAAUCAGACAUACAGAUUUUUAUGUGGCAAGGUGGGUCUAAAGUUUGCGUUUUUAUCGGAAUCAUAUUGUUCUGGCUCUAUUCACUGACUACUUUUGGCACAAUGGCAUGGUUUUCUCAUGGCAAAUCAAAUUUAGAACUCGUGAAAAGUUUAAAAAAUAAUGGAAUUAUUAAAAGUUCCCGUGUGGAAGAGGCUAUGUUGAGCGUGGAUCGAGGAAAGUAUGUCAAGGAGAACUCUUAUAGAGAUGCCCCUCAAGGAAUUGGUUAUGGCGUUACAAUCAGCGCUCCGCAUAUGCAUGCUUAUGCACUAGAGGCAUUGAAGGAUCAUUUGGUGGAAGGCGAAAAAGCGUUAGAUGUUGGUUCUGGGUCCGGUUACCUAACAGCAUGCAUGGCUCUACUGGUUGGCAAAUCAGGCAAAGCAGUGGGGAUCGACCACAUCCCUGAGCUAGUCGAAUAUUCAGUAAAAAAUGUCAUGUCAGAUCAUCCUGAACUAUUAGAAUCUGGAGUUGUUAAAUUAGUCGCUGGUGAUGGACGACAAGGAUAUAGCCCAGAGGCACCUUAUAAUGCAAUACAUGUAGGUGCUGCUGCACCUAUUUUACCACAAGCGUUAAUUGAUCAGUUAAAGCCUGGCGGCCGACUUAUAAUUCCUGUUGGACCGGCGCACGGCGAGCAAAAUUUAGAACAAAUCGAUAAGUUAGCUGAUGGUUCUGUCACAAGACAAGCAUUGAUGGGUGUUGUAUACGUGCCUUUGACUGAUAAAUCAACUCAAUGGCCUGGCAGGUGGAAAUAAUAUUGUGUUGUCACGUAGGCAAUUAUACUGUUUGCUUAAACCUCUGUCCUUUUUUCCAUGCACUGUCCCUGUACGUACGAAGAAAAAUUGAAUAUUCAUUAUAUUCUGAGAUGAAGUCAUAAACUUGCAUGAAUAAUGAGAAUGGGCCUCUCGACUAGCUCUGCACCAGGUGCGAGUUAAAGCACUGUACAACAUGUUUCCUCUUCCAAAUUUCACGAGCAAAAUAAAUUGCACAACAAGAAGUAUGGAAAUCAACUUCUACCCAAGAUGUAAGUACUCUCAAUUAACAUUAAUUAAAUGGCCAAAAUACAAAUGAAGUCAUUCCUAUCUGUUCCCAAAAAAAAAAAAAAAAAAAAAUGAAGCCAAGAAUUCGUGUUAAGAUUUCAUUCAGAAAUUGAUUUUGGAAAUUUCUGUUGGAUGAGUUGUUUUCUAUGUGAAAUAUUUUGAAGAGGAAACAUGUGACGCUUCUUCCAGUCCAGAACUUAGAGUUAAGAUGCUGUAAAGGCGCUGUGUGCAUACUAACAUUUGAAAGUGAAUUGUACCCAUUGAGAAGUCUAAAUUUGGAAAUGCAAAGCAAAAAAGGGGGAUUCGUUAAAGUCAGAAAGCUACCCCAGUCGGAAAAUCCUUGGUGCUGAUAACAAAUGACUUGGUGAGGUUUUGCUGUACUACAUCAGCACUGUAAUUGUACUUUAAUGGUACGAUAUCCAUAAUUUCCUAUAUCUAAAAGGUCUGUUUUCUUUUUUUUAAUUCGAUUUUCAAUCUUAUCACUUCAUCCUUCUUUUAAGAUUAUUGAAUAAUUUAUAAGUUCUGAAAACAAAAUAAUUUUGUUAAUGUUUCAUGAUUUUUCAAUUUAUAUUGUUCUAUAGUUAAAAUUAUUUUGACUAUUUUUAUUGAAGUUAAUUUUGACCAUUAUUGUCAAAAUAAAGUAAACACAGUUGUGUGUAGACAAAAGUUGAUCAACUUAGAGUCUUCUAAGAGCAUGUAAGCGAUACUUACUUUAGCAUUGACUUUUCCUUCUUUGAAAUUUAAAGUCUCCUCAGAAAUAAUAAGAAUAUGACACAUGAUUGUGGCAUUCAUCUCUUUCUCCCAGUCCCUUACCAAAGAAUUGAAAUAUCAUUUUUCUCAGUCGAAGAUGGAUGUUGGUUUUCAGUUGCUUCUUUACUAAAAAUCUGGUGGAUGUAUGUUCAGAAAAAGUGUUUCCUCAAACAUAAGUGUUCAAAUUUAUCUUUUGUGAUUUCAUAAUUUACACGCGUCUGCCACCUUAAUAAAGCAAGGACCAGAGAAGGUAAUACCCAGUCAAUUUUCAGCGCUGGGUCAUUAAUUAUUAUUGGUUUGACCCUCUCAAGUAAGGAUUUUUCAAAGAAUGCAACUUUGUCUGAAAAUAAAAAACCAGGAUUUUCUGGAAAGCUGAUGCACGCAUGGAAAAAACAUUUCGAGUUCAGUAGCCAAAAAUGUAUUGUAGCACAUCUAUGGCAUGUUUAAAAAUUUUUUUCACUUUUUCUGAUCAAAAAUUUUCCUUGGUCAAAAGACAAAAAUUUGCCCAGUGCAAAUCGUACCAGUUUGUUUUGCGUCUAGAAGGGAGGAAAACACUUUUUUUCCUAAAUUUGUGAUAGAGCUACAAGCUAGUAUGAACCAGUGUCAUUUGGACUAUAGAAGCCAAAACUAGGACUAGCUCCAUCAGAUGUCUAGAGAACUAUUUGUUACCCUCCCUUUCCUACGCAAAACAAGCCAGGUUUUCCAUAAUUUUUUCAUUUUCUAAUUCUCUGCCUCUGUUUGCUAUUUCCUGACAUCGAAAUUUUCGAACUACUCGGCUUUCCCUGGCCUCCAAUCAAAACGCUUGGUUUUGUUUUCUUCAGAUUCCGCUGACUUUUGAAUUACUCUGGUUGAUACCUGUACUUCUAGUGCUCCAAAUUAAGGGAGAAGGCAUUUUGAAGUGGCCUGUGCUCUCUCAAUUGGCACCGGCUGAAGAUACUAAGCCUCGUGCAAAAUUCCCUGACUUUUCCAGGUUACUGUAAAUUCUCUGACGUUGAAUGUCCAGACCGUUGAAAACUCUGCCAGUAGAUAAGAUUUGUAUCCGCCACUUGGGCGGUUUUUGAUGUUUGACUAGGUACGAAAACUUUUUCAUCAGGAACAAUGAGAAAAGUUAUUAGGCAUGCCCAAUGAUUACUUUUAAGUAUUUUUGGGUGCUAAGCCUGAAAGGAAAUAACAUUUUUUUUCUUUUUCUGAGCACUUACCAAUUUUUCCAAGGAAGUUUAUAUUCUAGGAAAUCUUUCCUUAAUAGGGGAACACAAAUAGCAUUUUCAGACUCAUUGUUAGUCCUAAAAUCUAUCAAGAAUUACCAACUGAGAUCCUUGCUUUAUUUCACAGAUUUUUUUGUACACAUACUGGUACCUAUGUCACAUUCCCAGAUGAAUGAUACCCAUUAUAUUGUCAUCUUUCUUUCGCAACCUUGAAUGUCAGAUGUGUCCACAGGGUCCUAGCGAGAGGCAUGCGAGCAUGGUUACGUCGUAAAAAUGAAAAGCGGCGAACAUCACAAAAUUCAUAAAAAUUUUCUCUCGAAGAAACUUCCCAUGCAGAUUUGCGGGACAGCUCCUAACACUGAAUAACUAAGGAGACAAAUCCAUGCUGUUAUUCCGAAGUUGUGCGGUUCAUCAUGACUUUUUUGCUCAUACCUUUGUUUUACCAGAAUGUAAUUUUGCAGUAUUAUUCGUAUUAGUAAUCUACAUUUAUAACUGUAUGAUGUUUCUUUUCCUAAUUCUCUAGCUAAGUUGUGAUGUAAAAAUACAUUGACUCUUCAUUAAUAACGCGAAA